rnacentral:rRNA from 1 species
CAUGUCCUUUUGAUAAUGAUUUAAGGUCUAACCUGCUCGAUGAGUAAUUAAAUUGCCGCAGUAUUUUGACUGUGCAAAGGUAGCAUAAUAAUUAGUCUUUUGAUUAAGGGCUGGAAUGAAUGGUUGGACAAGAAAAUGUCUGUCUUUAAUUUAUUUUUUAUUGAAUUUUAUUUUUGAGUUAAAAAGCUUAGAUGUGUUUAAAAGACGAGAAGACCCUAUAGAGUUUUAUAAUUGGUGUUGUGCUUGAUUUUAGAAUUAAUGGUAUUUAUCAAUUAUUUAGUUGGGGUGACUUAAAGAUUGGUUUAAUUCUUUAUAAAUGUAGUUGGUGAUUAUUAAUUUUAUUAUCUGAAGGUUUUAAGUAAAGAUUAAUUACCUUAGGGAUAACAGCGUAAUUUUUCUUUGAAGUUCUUAUUUGAGGAAGAGUUUGCGACCUCGAUGUUGGAUUAAAAUAAAUUUAAGGUGUAGUGGCUUUAGUAUUUGGUCUGUUCGACCAUUAAAAUUUUACAUGAUCUGAGUUUAGACCGGCGUGAGCCAGGUUAGAUUCUAUCUUUAAGAGUUUUAAUUAUUUUAGUACGAAAGGACCGGAUAGUUGUUAUAUUAAUUG